rnacentral:rRNA from 1 species
UGACUCCUGUUCACGGCCGCGGUAUCCUAACCGUGCGAAGGUAGCGUAAUCACUUGUUCUUUAAAUAAGGACUAGUAUGAAUGGCACCACGAGGGUUAUACUGUCUCCUUUUUCUAAUCAGUGAAACUAAUCUUCCCGUGAAGAAGCGGGAAUUAUUUUAUAAGACGAGAAGACCCUAUGGAGCUUUAAACAAAAUAACAAUUGCUAUGUUUACCAACAAUUUCAGAAGACUCAAAACCAUCUUAGCACUUUGAUUAUAAGUUUUAGGUUGGGGUGACCGCGGAGAAAAAAUUAACCUCCACAUUGAAAGGGUACUUACCCUAAGCAAAGAGCCACAACUUUAUGCAUCAAUAAAUUGACAUUAAUUGACCCAAUAUUUUGACCAACGAACCAAGUUACCCUAGGGAUAACAGCGCAAUCCGCUUCAAGAGCUCCUAUCGACAAGCGGGUUUACGACCUCGAUGUUGGAUCAGGGUAUCCCAGUGGUGCAGCCGCUACUAAAGGUUCGUUUGUUCAACGAUUAAAACCCUACGUGAUCUGA